AUGGCGCGUGCAGAAUUUGUGAAAGCGAAAAAGAAGACGAAGGAGAAGCAAAGAGGACGGAAUACUGCGGUGCUAGGGUGCAGCUGGAGUCCAGAAAUGAUUUUUUUCGGUGAAUUUAGGAUUUUGCCGCAGUAUACAUCUGCAGUCCCAGAAUCCUCCGGUAAUUCAAAAGCAUCUGUUUUAGGGAAGGGAUGCCUUACAUUCAAGUUCUGUCUUCUACUGCUUGAUAUGCCAGUGGCCUGAUAGCAUGACAAGAAAUAUCUUCUCUCUUAAACUAGCUGGAGACGCUUGGUUUCUAAGAACACAGCUUAAAAAUUAGAACCACUUGCCUGUCGCCAUUUCAUAAAAUUAAUUUAUGUCAAACCCAGGAUGACUGGUUCUAGAAGGAAAAGGCUUUUAGAUAACCAACUGUUUUUAUGAAAUGUAUUGUCCAAGGUCAAUUUUUAAAAAAUUAUUUAACAAAAUUUCUUACUUCACCAAACUCAGGUAUUUUGAUGUUGUAUUUUGCUUUGGUUUAAUGAUAGUAUUUGUCUUCAUUCCAUAGAAGAUAUUCAGCUCAUAUUUUUGGUGAGACAACUGGAACAAUUUCUGCCUUAUGAAACAUGCAAAUAAAAAUUAGGAGCAAUGCUAAGUUUAACUAACU
rnacentral:lncRNA from 13 species